UGGGGAAUAUUGCACAAUGGGCGCAAGCCUGAUGCAGCCAUGCCGCGUGUGUGAAGAAGGCCUUCGGGUUGUAAAGCACUUUCAGCGGGGAGGAAGGCGAUAAGGUUAAUAACCUUGUCGAUUGACGUUACCCGCAGAAGAAGCACCGGCUAACUCCGUGCCAGCAGCCGCGGUAAUACGGAGGGUGCAAGCGUUAAUCGGAAUUACUGGGCGUAAAGCGCACGCAGGCGGUCUGUCAAGUCGGAUGUGAAAUCCCCGGGCUCAACCUGGGAACUGCAUUCGAAACUGGCAGGCUAGAGUCUUGUAGAGGGGGGUAGAAUUCCAGGUGUAGCGGUGAAAUGCUUAGAGAUCUGGAGGAAUACCGGUGGCGAAGGCGGCCCCCUGGACAAAGACUGACGCUCAGGUGCGAAAGCGGGGGGAGCAAACAGG
rnacentral:rRNA from 1 species